CGGGGUGCAGCAGGCGCGAAAACUUUGCAAUGCGGGAAACCGUGACAGGGGAACUCCGAGUGCCCGUUAAAUCGGGCUGUCCACCAGUUUAAAUAACUGGUGAAGAAAGGGCCGGGCAAGACCAGUGCCGGCCGCCGCGGUAAUACCGGCGGCUCGAGUGGUGGCCACUAUUACUGGGCUUAAAGCGUUCGUAGCUGGUUUGUUAAUUCUCUGGGGAAAUCUUCCGGCUUAACCGGAAGGCGUCUCAGGGAUACUGGCAAACUAUGGACCGGGAGAGGUGAGGGGUACUCCUGGGGUAGGAGUGAAAUCCUGUAAUCCUUGGGGGACCACCUGUGGCGAAGGCGCCUCACCAUAACGGCUCCUACAGUGAGGGACAAAAGCUGGGGGAGCAAACCGGAUUAUAUACCCGGGUAGUCCCAGCUGUAAACAAUGCGCGUUAGGUGUAUCGGUGACCACGAGUCACCGAGGUGCCGAAGAGAAAUCGUGAAACGUGCCGCCUGGGAAGUACGGUCGCAAGGCUGAAACUUAAAGGAAUUGGCGGGGGAGCAC
rnacentral:rRNA from 1 species